rnacentral:rRNA from 1 species
GUAACACGUAGUCAACCUGCCCUCGGGUCGACAAUAAUCUCGGGAAACUGAGGCUAAUGAGCGAUAGGUCAAGAUUCCUGGAAUGGGUUUUGGUCUAAACGGCGUGACAGCAUCUUGUCAUGUCCGCCCGAGGAUGGGACUGCGGCCGAUCAGGCUGUUGGUGGGGUAAAGGCCCACCAAACCAGUAACCGGUACGGGCUUUGAGAGAAGGAGCCCGGAGAUGGACACUGAGACAAGGGUCCAGGUCCUACGGGGCGCAGCAGGCGCGAAACCUUCGCAAUGCGCGCAAGCGCGACGAGGUUAUUCCGAGUGAUUUCCGCUGAGGAAAUCUUUUCUCAGAUCUAAAAAGUCUGGGGAAUAAGGGGAGGGCAAGUCUGGUGUCAGCCGCCGCGGUAAUACCAGCUCCUCGAGUGGUCAGGGCGUUUAUUGGGCCUAAAGCAUCCGUAGCCUGCUUGGUAGGUCUCCUGUUAAAUCCAACGGCUCAACCGUUGGUCUGCAGGAGAUACCGCUAGGCU